rnacentral:rRNA from 1 species
ACGAAAAGGAAGCAGGACAAUGGAACUUUUCCAUUGACUUUUUGUCGACUCCCAAAUUUUGACCUUUAAGUACUUUUUCGGGCAUUUUCGUGAUUUGUGCUAUAUUACUGACCCAAAAUUACUUGUUCAAGCAUUGUUUUGGAAUGUUUUUCAUGCAUCAAAGCUCGUUAAGACUAGAUGGGGUAUCCCCACAUAGCGGGUGGGACCCACGGCGAACGGUUCAUCAAGACUUCAAAAACGAAUAUAUACGAUUGCAUUGCAUAUACUAACGGAUGCGAUCAUACCAGCACUAAUGCACCGGAUCCCAUCAGAACUCCGCAGUUAAGCGUGCUUGGGCGAGAGUAGUACUAGGAUGGGUGACCUCCCGGGAAGUCCUCGUGUUGCAUCCCUCUUUUA